AACGAACGCUGGCGGCAGGCUUAACACAUGCAAGUCGAACGGGCCCUUCGGGGUCAGUGGCAGACGGGUGAGUAACACGUGGGAACGUGCCCUUCAGUUCGGAAUAACCCAGGGAAACUUGGGCUAAUACUGGAUACGCCCUUUUGGGGAAAGAUUUAUCGCUGAAGGAUCGGCCCGCGUCUGAUUAGCUAGUUGGUGGGGUAAGGGCUCACCAAGGCGACGAUCAGUAGCUGGUCUGAGAGGAUGAUCAGCCACACUGGGACUGAGACACGGCCCAGACUCCUGAGGGAGGCAGCAGUGGGGAAUAUUGGACCAUGGGGGCAAGCCUGAUCCAGCCAUGCCGCGUGAGUGAUGAAGGCCUUAGGGUUGUAAAGCUCUUUCGGCGGGGACGAUAAUGACGGUACGCGCAGAAGAAGCCCCGGCUAACUUCGUGCCAGCCGCCGCCGUAAAAC
rnacentral:rRNA from 1 species